UGUGGGUAAAUACACAAAGCUGGUUUCACUAG
rnacentral:piRNA from 1 species